AUCGCUUCUCGGCUCUCUGUGAGCUAAGAUCAAGUGCAGUAUCUGUUCUUAUCAGUUUUUUUUGGGAGGGAUAGCUCAGUGGUUUGAGCAUUGGCCUGCUAAACCUAGGGUUGUGAGUUCAAUCCUUGAGGGCAACAUUUAGGGAACUGGGGUAAAAAUC
rnacentral:snRNA from 1 species